CGAUCAUCAGGCCGUCGGCACCGGCGGCGACAGCGGCUUUGGCCAGCUGAGGCACCAUCCAUGCGUGGCCGCAGGCGUGGCUGGGGUCUACGAUGACGGGC
rnacentral:tRNA from 1 species